GAUGAACGCUGGCGGCGUGCCUAAUACAUGCAAGUCGAGCGAACAGACGAGGAGCUUGCUCCGCUGACGUUAGCGGCGGACGGGUGAGUAACACGUGGAUAACCUACCUAUAAGACUGGGAUAACUUCGGGAAACCGGAGCUAAUACCGGAUAAUAUAUUGAACCGCAUGGUUCAAUAGUGAAAGACGGUUUUGCUGUCACUUAUAGAUGGAUCCGCGCCGCAUUAGCUAGUUGGUAAGGUAACGGCUUACCAAGGCAACGAGGCGUAGCCGACCUGAGAGGGUGAUCGGCCACACUGGAACUGAGACACGGUCCCGACUCCUACGGGAGGCAGCAGUCGGGAAUCUUCCGCAAUGGGCGAAAGCCUGACGGACCAACGCCACGUGGGUGAUGAAGGUCUUCGGCUCGUAAAACUCUGUUAUUAGGCAAGAACAAAUGUGUAAGUAACUAUGCACGUCUUGACGGUACCUAAUCAGAAAGCCACGGCUACCUACGUG
rnacentral:rRNA from 1 species